UCAGUUCACUAAAGAGGACAGCAUCCCCAUAAUCUGAUCACCUCCUAAACACAUGAGACUUUGGGACUGGAGGUAUUCCAUACCUAAACUAUAACAAGAGAAUGCUUUUGAUGUGCCAACGGCAAUCCUGUUGCUUGACGAAGAUGUUCCUGAGGCAAUCUGCAAAAGCAAACCUAGGUCUGAAGUGGCUGCUGCUGUGCCGGCCUGGGCAUCACUGUCAGAACAUGGGCUGCUACAGGUGCAGGGGUGGAGCUGCCCCCUCUCCAGACUUCACCGUCCUGAGGGGCUUCCCCGAACCCUGUCUCCCCUUCUGCAAAUGGCUGCAACAUAUGACUGUUCUCAGUUGCCCUUUUGGAGUGUGGCAUACGUUCUGUGGUGCUCUUGCCUCAUUCUAUGUGUUUUACUCAUUGCAUUUAAAACAAACAUAUUGCUUUUUAAAAGACAAAGAAAAAGAGAAAA